rnacentral:lncRNA from 1 species
UUUUUCUUUGACAGCUCGGUCAGAAAGCUUCUCCGGAGUUUCGAGUAUUUUGAUUUCGUACGGAGAUAGUGGAUAAAGAUGUGGUUGCGACUGCCGCUGGGUGUGAGCCGAGAGAAAAGGAUUUAUUUGAGGCAUUUAGUCUAUGGGUUCGACAAUCGAGGUAAGGGGUUUCAUUUUUAAAAUUACAAGUUUUUAAUUUAAGAAUGCCAAAAAGCUUAUUGAGUAAUUGCAAAUAAUUUACACGUAUUUUGUGUGACUAAUUGAUGAGAAUUGGUUGUAAUUGUGAGUGUUGGUCAAUUUGGUGUUGCUUGUUAAAUUGCAAUGUGAUUUGAGUUUAUGAAUUGGGUUUGAAUUGAGACUGUGUUUGAUACUGGAAUUUAUGGUUAUGGAAGUGGAUGGUAACUGAUUUUGGUAUUAGUAUGAUGGGAAUAGGUGCUGAUGAAGGGCUGGUAAAAAUACGCAAGAAGGUGAUUUUGGUUAGUAUUAAAUGUUAAACGAGUAUGAUCAGAGAGAUUUGUAAAAUCUGAAUGAAGAAAUGAAUUUCCUUUAAUUUUCAAAAGCAAAAGAUUGAAACGGGCUAAUUUUAUUGAAAUAGAAAGAGGCUUAGUUUUAAAGAGAAUGGUUUGAUUUUAUUUGAUAUUUUGAAUGAUGUGAAUAUUGAAAACGAUUUAUUACUUGGAAAUAUUUUGAAAUGGAUUUGAAAGAUAAUUAAUGGAAUCUCUGCCACAGGAGAGCAGAGAAUAACGAUUAGAGAAUAUAUUAACUAAAAGGAUAUCUGGCAUAGGAGAGUAGAGAACAAAGAUUAAAGGAAUAUAUUAAUUAAUGAAAUGACUGCCACAGGAGAGCAGAUGUGACAUUGUUUGGGCCUUAGUGCCAAAUGUAUAGUGGGGACGCCCACACACUGAGAACUGUUUUCCAGAUGUACGCUUAUUGAUUUGGAAAGUCACACUGUAUGCGGCCUAUCCGUACGACUUAUAAGCACACCGUAUACAUCUGGAAAGCCAUAUCUGGGACUCGUGUCCGGGUAAUGUCGGGAGCGGGUAGACAACCGACACAUGAUCUCAUGGCCUGCAUUAGGAAUAGACAUGCAUCAUGUUGUUUGCAUAUUUGUAUUUGGUUGUGUUUGCUUGUAUUACUUCUCUGUGAUUGCGCUGUUUGACUUAUUUGUAUGUUGGUUUGAAUUCCUUACUUGUACUGUUAGUUCACAGAUGAAUUGAGGUGAGAUGUUGUGGUUGAAAAAUGAUUAUGUAGCUGAGAGGUGGUUAGUAUGACUAAUUUUGUGGUUAAAAUCUGUUUUGAGUUUAGAAAUUUAAAGAAAAGUAAUUAAUUAUCUAAAGUAGAAAUAAAAGUAUUUUCAAAGGUUUAACAAAAUAGUUUUACUAAGUAAGUUAAUUAUUUGCAUUAAAUUCAUUACUUUUAUAGCAUUUCUAUUCCCUACUGAGAACAUGUGGUUUGUUCUCACCCAAAAUCUUCCACUCUUUCGGUGACACAGGUUCAAUUCGGAGAUUCAGUAAGAAGUUGCAAACGAUUAGUAGCUUUACUUGUGAUUUCUGUUGUUUUUAUAGAGUUUCCUCGCCCUUGUUGCUUCAGGGUCUUUAUUUUAUCCAGAGGGUUAGGUAUUGUAUUUGAGUUUUAUAUUAAAUUUAAUUGUAUAGCCUC